ensembl:ribozyme RNase_MRP RNase MRP
UUCUGCUCUGAAAUCCUGUUUCCUAGGCUAUGUAAGAGGGACUUGUUUCUUCUUCCGCCUAUGGGAAAGUUCCUGGACCAUGGGCAGAGAGUGCAUGUGCACAUGCGGGUAGACUUCCCCCACAAAUCACUGUUAGUCUGCCAAGAAGCAAUCCCUGUUGGCGAGCUGAGUAGCAUACAGCGGGCGUCAUCUGUCUUACGUGUUUUUACUGUCUUCAGUGUCUGUUAUGGUUUAUAUAAUGACAGGCUCAUAGCAUU